CCUACGGGAGGCAGCAGUGGGGAAUAUUGCACAAUGGGGGAAACCCUGAUGCAGCGACGCCGCGGGAGUGAAGAAGUAAUUCGUUAUGUAAAGCUCUAUCAGCAGGGAAGAAAAUGACGGUACCUGAGUAAGAAGCCCCGGCUAACUACGUGCCAGCAGCCGCGGUAAUACGUAGGGGGCCAGCGUUAUCCGGAUUUACUGGGUGUAAAGGGAGCGUAGACGGCAGUGCAAGUCUGGAGUGAAAGGGGGGGGCUCAACCCCCGGACUGCUCUGGAAACUGUACGGCUGGAGUGCAGGAGAGGUAAGUGGAAUUCCUAGUGUAGCGGUGAAAUGCGUAGAUAUUAGGAGGAACACCAGUGGCGAAGGCGGCUUACUGGACUGUAACUGACGUUGAGGCUCGAAAGCGUGGGGAGCAAACAGGAUUAGAUACCCCAGUAGUC
rnacentral:rRNA from 1 species